rnacentral:rRNA from 1 species
UGGAUCCAGACUUUGAUUCUGGCUCAGGAUGAACGCUGGCGGCGUGCCUAACACAUGCAAGUCGAACGAAGUUACUUGCUUAGAUCUCUUCGGAGUGACGAGCUUUUAACUUAGUGGCGGACGGGUGAGUAACACGUGAGCAACCUGCCUUUCAGAGGGGGAUAACGGCUGGAAACGGUCGCUAAUACCGCAUGACAUAUUGAACCGGCAUCGGUUUAAUAUCAAAGGAGCAAUCCGCUGAAAGAUGGGCUCGCGUCUGAUUAGAUAGUUGGUGGGGUAACGGCCUACCAAGUCGACGAUCAGUAGCCGGACUGAGAGGUUGAACGGCCACAUUGGGACUGAGAUACGGCCCAGACUCCUACGGGAGGCAGCAGUGGGGAAUAUUGCACAAUGGGGGAAACCCUGAUGCAGCAACGCCGCGUGAAGGAAGACGGUUUUCGGAUUGUAAACUUCUUUUCUUAGUGAAGAAGCAAGUGACGGUAGCUAAGGAAUAAGCAUCGGCUAACUACGUGCCAGCAGCCGCGGUAAUACGUAGGAUGCGAGCGUUAUCCGGAAUUACUGGGUGUAAAGGGAGCGCAGGCGGGACUGCAAGUUGGAUGUGGAAUACCGCAGCUUAACUGCGGAGCUGCAUCCAAAACUGUAGUUCUUGAGUGGAGUAGAGGCAAGCGGAAUUCCGAGUGUAGCGGUGAAAUGCGUAGAUAUUCGGAGGAACACCAGUGGCGAAGGCGGCUUGCUGGGCUCUAACUGACGCUGAGGCUCGAAAGUGUGGGGAGCAAACAGGAUUAGAUACCCUGGUAGUCCACACUGUAAACGAUGAUAGCUAGGUGUGGGGGGUCUGACCCCUUCCGUGCCGGAGUUAACGCAAUAAGCUAUCCACCUGGGGAGUACGGCCGCAAGGUUGCAACUCAAAUGAAUUGACGGA